CCUACGGGUGGCAGCAGUGAGGAAUAUUGGUCAAUGGGCGCGAGCCUGAACCAGCCAAGUAGCGUGAAGGAUGACUGCCCUACGGGUUGUAAACUUCGUUUAUAAAGGAAUAAAGUGAGGCACGUGUUCCUUUUUGUAUUUACUUUAUGAAUAAGGAUAGGCUCACUCCGUGCCAGCAGCCGCGGUAAUACGGAGGAUCCGAGCGUUAUCCGGAUUUAUUGGGUUUAAGGGGAGCGUAGAUGGGUUGUUAAGUCAGUUGUGAAAGUUUGCGGCUCAACCGUAAAAUUGCAAUUGAUACUGGCAGUCUUGAGUACAGAUGAGGUAGGUGGAAUUCGUGGUGUAGGAGUGAAAUGCUUAGAUAUCUCGAAGAACUCCGAUUGCGAAGGCAGCUUACUAA
rnacentral:rRNA from 1 species